CUUGUUGCCUUAUCUUCUCAUCUUUCAUUUUCUCGAGGUCCCGCCUCGCCAGCUCAGCCGCCAGCUUUUGCUCUCGCUCCAGCUGCAGUGCUCUCUGCUUUCUGUUCUCUUCUGCCUGAUCAGAACAAUUUCCUUACCAACUCUCGCACACGCACAUUUGGAAGAAGGCAAGGAGACUGUGCAGUCAGCAAGACUAUACAACUAUGACGAUGGAUCCCCCACAGGUGUGGGAGAUACAGGCACAGGGCAGAACACAACAGACAGAACAUGAACAUCACCAAAACAGAUGACUCUACAUGAUUCUGGUCUUUGUACUACAAAGUACUCUUUUGGACACUCCUAAUUCCUCAAUUUUUCCUCUUGUCAUGAAGCAUUUUUCAGGCCUUGCCUCACUUCAUUUACAUGCAGCAAAUACCCACCUUGCCUGGCUCCCAAGGUGGCUUAGCAAGUCAUGGCAAAGCAUCCUGUUACUCUGCACACAACCUAG